rnacentral:lncRNA from 1 species
UCUUUCUAUCUGUACAUAUCAGUACUGGAGUACGAUUACUACACUCGAGUUUUUGAAGUAAACAUAUAUGUGUGUGUGAGAUUAACUAGACAAUUCAAUAAUUUAGAAUAUGACUAUUUUACUACUCUACAUACAAACUGUAUUAAUGAGUGGUUAUAUCUUAUGGCCGUCCAUGGGGGGAGCAGAAUCCUAAAAUUCAGAGACAAGACCAGGAAAAAGUGCUGGCAACAUUGGUUGGAAAUUUAUAAAUUGACUGUAAAUUUGCAUGACAAGUACGUGACGAUCAUUUGGUCCAAUACUCACCCACCUCCAUACGUGGGAGACUGUCGGCUUUGGUCACACUUGCUACUUAACUUAAUUCCCCUAAAUUCUCAAUAACACUUACUCCCUCCGUCCCUAUUUAUCUGUCCACUUUGCAAGUAAAAAUUUGUCCCUAUUUAUCUGUCCAUUUAUACUUUCAAAACUCAUUUAAUGAUAGUUUUUCAAAUAUAUCUCCAUAAUUUCAAUUUUCUAGGCUUGACUUAUUUAAAACUUGGUUGAAUUCAUGUUUUCAAGACAUAAAGUAGGGGUAUUCCACCAUUUUCAAGAUAUUAAUUAGAGGUAUUUAAUGAAAAAGUUCAUAGCAUCAAUUAUUCAUUGGUAUGUGUUUUUUUUUCCAAAAUGGACAGAUAAAAAGGGACGGAGGGAGUACUAAUUAGGGUUCUCCCCUCUUUGUCUAGGGUUAGCUAUAAUUUCUGAUUUCCUGCAUUCUGAAUCGGGUACCGGCCUGGCGAAUAAUUAGUAUUCGUAUCGUUGAUACAAAAUUUGAUAACCAGCUCAAUCCGCAUAUAAU